GGCUCGAUGGUGUAGUUGGUUUAUCACUUCUGUCUAACAUUCAUUUGCUCAGUACGUGAUGUCACACAGGCGGUCCUCGGUUCGAGCCCGAGUCGAGUCA